CCUACGGGGGGCUGCAGUGAGGAACAUUGGUCAAUGGGCGCGAGCCUGAACCAGCCAAGUCGCGUGAGGGAAGACGGCCCUACGGGUUGUAAACUGCUUUUGUACAAGGGUAAACCUGAAUACGUGUAUUCAGCUGAAAGUACUGUACGAAUAAGGAUCGGCUAACUCCGUGCCAGCAGCCGCGGUAAUACGGAGGAUGCGAGCGUUAUCCGGAUUUAUUGGGUUUAAAGGGUGCGCAGGCGGAGGUGCAAGUCAGCGGUCAAAUUGCGGGGCUCAACCCCGUACUGCCGUUGAAACUGCAUCCCUUGAGUGCGCGAGAAGUAUGCGGAAUGCGUGGUGUAGCGGUGAAAUGCAUAGAUAUCACGCAGAACUCCGAUUGCGAAGGCAGCAUACCGGCGCGCAACUGACGCUCAUGCACGAAAGCGUGGGUAUCGAACAGGAUUAGAUACCCGAGUAGUC
rnacentral:rRNA from 1 species